ACCCUGGUUUCUCUUCAGAUCAUAUAAAUCUUUUGCCUUUUACUAAAGAUUUCCAUGAAGAAGAAAAAUUCUCAGUCUUAACUUAAUUUUUUGAGGUCUUGUUUUCAUGAGACU
rnacentral:snRNA from 1 species